GAUGAACGCUGGCGGCGUGCCUAAUACAUGCAAGUCGAGCGAACGGACGCUGAUCUUGCUGGUCUGAUGUUAGCGGAGGACGUGUGAAUAACACGUGUAUAACGUACCUAUCAGACUGAUAUAACUUCGGGAAACCGGAUCUAAUACCGGAUAAUCUUUUGCACCGCGUGGUUCAUAAGUGAAAGACGGUCGUGCGGUCACUUAUCGAUGGAUCCGCGCUUCAUGAGCUAGUUGUUAAGGUAACGGCUUACCAAGGCAACGAUGCUUAGCCGACCUGACAGGGUGAUCGGCCACACGGGAAGUGAGACAGGGUCCAUACUCCUGAGGGAGGGCGCAGUCGCGAAUCUUACGCAAUGGGGGGAAGCCUGACGGAGCAACGGCGAGUGAGUGAUGGAGGUGUUCGGAGCGUAAAAAUCUGUUAUGAGGGAAGAACAUAUGUGUAAGUAACUGUGCACAGCGUGACGGUAAUUAAUAAGAAAGCAACGGCUAACUACGUG
rnacentral:rRNA from 1 species